rnacentral:piRNA from 1 species
UGCCCAGCUCAGUGCAGACAGAAACCAAU